CUUUCAGGGAAAAUUUUCAUUUCCCCCUAUCGCACAUGGUUUUUAUUAUCAAUUGCAAAAGCCAUAAUAUUAGUCCGCCGUGCGUUUUUUAUAAAGACAUCAAUAUUCAUUUUAAACACGUCACAGUUCUCUUGCCGCUAUCAGAACCCUAUCCCUCAUUGCUAGCGAACUACAUAAUGGAUGAUCCCUCUGCCUGCAAGCUAAUGCCUACGUUGGCGAGUAAACUAAUGCAUGCUGAAGCCGAGCUAUUGUAAGGAAGCCGAACGUAUCUGGUGAGGUGACAACGUUUUUGGCCGGAGCUGUACAUAAGAUAAAUGUUAGAAACAAAUAAAUUCUAAAAUAUGUCAUGGACAUAU
rnacentral:lncRNA from 1 species